rnacentral:lncRNA from 1 species
GGCACCGGGACCCCCAAGUGAGGGACCCCCGAGUGGGGGACCCCCAAGUGGGGGACCCCUAUGGACCAGGGAUCCCUAUGGGCCAGGGACUCCUGUGGCAAUGGGACCCCCAAGUGAGGGACCCCCGAGUGGGGGACCCCUGUGGGCCAGGGAUCCCUAUGGCAAUGGGACCCCCAAGUGAGGAACCCCCAAGUGGGGGACCCCCAAGUGAGGGACCCCCAAGUGAGGGAUCCCUAUGGGUCAGGGACCCCUAUGGCAAUGGGACCCCCAAGUGAGGGACCCCCGAGUGGGGGACCCCCAAGUAAGGGACCCCUAUGGGCCAGGAACCCCUAUGGCAAUGGGACCCCCAAGUGAGAGACCCCCAACUGAGAAACCCCUAUGGGCCAGCGACCCUUACGGUACCAGGACCCCCAACUCAGAGACCCCCAAGUGAGGGAUCCCUGUGGGUCAGGGAGCCCUAUAGACCGGGGACCCCCAGCACUGGGACCCCUAUGGACCAGGGACCCCCAAUAACAGGGAGCCCCAUGGACCAGGGACCCCAAACUUGGGGACCCCCAUGGACCCGAGACCCCAAACACAGAGAGCCCCAGUGCUGGGACCCCCAUGGACCAGGGACCCCAAAUGUGGGGACCCCCAUGGACCAGGGACCCCAAAUGUGGGUCCCCCAUGGAACGAGACCCCCAAACGUGGGGACCCCCGUGGACCACGACCCCAAACGCGGGCACCCCCUGACCCUGAAGCCUCGGGGCCCCACGAUGUGGGGCGCUGCGGGAUCGGAGACCCCC